CACCCAGCCCCUAGCCUGGUGGCCACCCCCGCGGCUUCCUGCACCUGGGCAUUUCCACUGAAGUCGCCCCUCCGCAGGCCGUACUCUGCAGUCCAUGGCAGGCGCUCCACGUCCUCCUGGUGGACGUAGGAGAAACCAGCUGUGUUCCAGCGACGGGGCUGGGCCCGGUUUUCCGUGCUUGCUGACUGCAGCGGCUGUUUUCUGCCCCCAGUAAGGGCCCAGGGGUCACACCCACCCACUUAGAGCCCCCUUGGCAGGAGACUUGAGAGAUGACCGGGGCUGCGGUGAGUGUCACCACAGCCCCAACUUCUCCUAAACUCAGCCUUACCCCUCCCCCAGUCCCCAGUUCCCAUCUUCUCUUUAUUUUCUUCCCUCACGUUCAAAUAGCUCCAGUGAAAUAAUGCCAAAUGUGAAUGCUUUUUAAAUGAUGGGCUCUAAAAUCAUCGCGCUACCAAAUUCUGCAUGUCCCUACUAAGGGAGGCUUGGCUCUCUGAAGAUUUCAUUUGUUCAUGUUACCAUUAAGUAUGGGCCGUUAGCUAUGUACCAGAUCAUUCUAGGUUGUAGGGAAAUGAGUGACACAAGCCCUACUCCCAUACUUACCUGCUAGUGAGGGCAGAUGAUAGCAAACAGAAGCGGAAUAUAUAGGAUGUUAAUGAUAAGGGCUCAGGAGAGAAAGUAAAGUCAUCAAGAUAGGAAUGGAGGUUUUGGGGGCAGGGGUGGGGGCUGAGACUCUAGCAGGUGCGACCAGGGAAGGCCUCUCUGACAAAAUGGUAUUUGUGCAAAACAUGAAAGGAGAGAGCUGUGUGGAGGCAGUGUUGUCCAGGCUACGGGACUGGCCUGUGCCAAGGCCCUGGGGUGGGAUAUGCCUGGCCAGGUCAGUAAGGUGGGAGUCAUGGGGUGAAUGAGGAUUCAAUGUCUUUGAAGUGCCUGUAAUAAAUGGUAGCUUGUAAUAAAUGGUAGUUAUAAUUACGAUGGUUUCUCAUCAGAUGUUUCUGAUUUGUUUCAUGUGAACAGGUGCAGUUAUGCAGCCAAAUAGACCAAGUCUGCUCCUUGGCCUCGAGAAAAGGGUUUAAUCACAGCUCUGCCGACCUCUAAGGGCGACCCCAGCGUGCCUCCCAUGGGCACCCCUAGCUUUUCCCCUUCCGUAGGGUCAGACGGCCAUUGCCCCGGCCAAACACCUGUUUCUGAGCAGAUUCCUUUGCACAGACCCGGGCAGUAGCUCCUCAGGGUCCCAGAGCAGCGGCGUGCACACUAACGUGGGAUGUGUUCGAAGUGCCGAGUCCCCCGCUGCACCCAGAUCUACUGACAUGGGAGCCUGGGGAUGGGGCUCAGCAGCGGGGGGGCUAGAAGCCCUCCGGGUGACACUGACAGACGCCGAGGUUUCAGAACCACCGCUGCGAGUUUCUGGUCCUAAAGUCCCCUGGAGCGGGGAGGGCUCCGCUAGGGCACCUCGGUCGGUUCCUGCUCUCCCCAGAGGACCGCUGAUCAGAAAGCCUGUUCUUGUUACUGAGCCCCUCAGGUGCCCUGCUCCCCAGGCCUCCGGGGAGCUCAUCUGCCUCCCGGGACUCAUGCAUGGCCCUGAAUUCUGCACCGAAACGGCCCCAGCAGGGCAGAGACCGCCCCAGAGGACGUCCCAGGCCCUGGUCACUUCCUCCAGCGCUCGCAAAAAUGGCACUGAACGCCUCCGAGAGCUAUUUUAAGUUUUAUUAUUGUGGAAUUUAAGAAAAACCUCAAAACUAAGAUAGAGCAGCUUCAGAUUUUUGGACAAGACCCAGCAUGGAUUUCCCGUCCUGCCCCAGGAAGAAGUGACCUCCUAUUUACUGGGAAUCAGAUAAGGCAGCAUGCUCCAGGGACAGGGCCACUGCCGGUGCUUUUCCGGCUUUGAGUGGCGGCAGGAGCUGAUUUUUCCAUCCGAAACAGUACGGCUGACUGAGAGCAGCAACCCUGUCCUGUUGGUCCCCCACCUGUGCUGACGCAGGGACGGGUGGGCUGCGGGAAGAAGGGGGACCAGGGGGUCUGCAAACCUGAAUUUGUUGCUCCUCAGCUAAUUUCUGUUGGCCUGGGCAUUCGUUUGCAAAGUUAAUCCAAGACAGAACUAUCUGGGGCUCUUGUUUAAAAUGCAGGCCCCUGGGUCCCUAAAACAAGUGCUUCUAAGGCAGGCCAUCCUUCACGUUUGGGGGUAUAUCGGAAAAACAUAGAUUAAAAUUCUUAACUUGGUAGAAAAAAAGGUUCUCUAUGAUGUGGGAGCUAAUUCCUCCCAAGAACAAUCCCCUACAAUCCUCCUUUUACCAUUUAGGAUGAUAUUUUUUUAUAGUCUUUAAUGUAUCUUGUAAUUUUUAUAAACUUUAUCAUUUUUCUUCUAAUUAGAAAUUAGAAGGAAUUAUUAAUUAUUAAUUAAUUAAUUAGUUUAAAUAAUAAAUAAUGAUAAAAUUUAUCAGACAUUCCCAAUAACUAAUAGGAAUGCCUGCUAAAUUUUAUUAAAAACAUUUUGUAUUGCUAUGAUCACUUUUAAAAAUUCGGUUUGUUGAUAUAAUAAAUUAUGUUGGUAGAUUCCCUGAUAUUAAAUCCCCCUUGAAUUCCUAGGAUAAAUCCUGCAUGGUCAAGAAUGCUGCUCUUCAAAUAUAUUGCUAGACUGUAUGUAAAAUAAAAUUUGAUACACUAAAAAAUUUUGAACUUUAUUAAGGUAAAUAAUUCUUAAAAGUCAAAUAUGUUCAUAAAACUUACAAUACAAAAUAGAAGUCCACACCUUUGCCCCUGCCUUCUCCUCAAUUUUCACCCUCCAGGAAAUAAUCACUUACAACUUUUAUAUCUGUUUCUUCUGGAAAUUUGCUUUUCUAUUUCUAAAUGGCAUGUUUCUACAGUUACUGCUCGAUAUUUCAGUUUCUGAUAUCCUGCAGAGUCUUCCAACUAUUACCUUAUGAGAUUUAGCAUCUUUACCGACAUAAACUCUACACAACACACUCACACACACACACACACACCCAUAGUAAUAUUCACACAUGCAGACACAUUUCUCUGUACCAUGUGAUUAUAUAAUAAUGUUGCUGAUUAAUAUUGUUUAUACUAUUAUGACUAUGUAAAUAAUAUGAUAUUCCCAGUUAAGUCAUGAAAAGAACUAUGAUUAAAUUUCCUUCUUGCACAACUUUUGGUUUUCUCUAGUGUUAAUAAUUUUCUCACUUUCUUACUUUCUAAAUUUCCUGUGUAUUCACUAAUUCACUCUCUGAUAGAGAGUGUAUUCACUAAUUCCAAACUCUCUGAUAGAAUUAAAAUCUCAUUCAAUACUUCCAAACAUCAUAUAUUCUAUAAAAUUCGUGUUUUUCAAGUAGAUAGUCCAUCUGGAACCUUCUGUCCUCCUUCAAUCGGGACUGAUAAUUCUCUAGACUUGCUGUGUCUUAAAAUCUCCCUUUUUCAUCAGGUCAGGGAUUUCCUGCAUCUCUUGGGGUCCUUCUUUCUUGGCUAACUCUCACAUUUUGAUAUACACUCCUCCAAAAGCUUUCUGAGAAAAGGUACAUCAUGCAAGUUAAGUUUUUUGAGAUAUUGAAGCUUCUGAGAAAAUUUUUAUUCUGCCUUCUGCUUUGAUGGUCUGUUUAGCUGGGUGUGGAAUUCUAGGCUGGAAAUACUGCCUCUCUGAGAAUUCAGAAGGCGUUGCUCCAGUGUUUUCUAUAGAAAAAUUUUGCCAUUCUCAUUUCUGAUCCUCUGCAUGUGACUUGAUCUUUCACUGUUUUUUCCUCAGCGCUAUGAAAUUUUGUAUUGAUGUGCUUUGUCAGGGACUUUUUAUCCUUUGUGCUUGGCUUUGGGUAGACUCAGUCAGUUCUGGUAAGUUUCCCGGGUAACUUAUUCUCUGUUUUCUCUGUUUCGCCUUUCCGGUACUCCUUACCAUUCAAUAUUAGACUUUCUCAUCUGAUCCUUCAGUUUUGCUCUCUUGCUUAUCUCUAUCCCUCUCUUUCUCUGGUUAUAUUGUUUUUGAGAUUUUACCAACUUUGUCUUCCAAGUAGGGUUACUAGAUAAAAUACAGGAUGCCUAGUUUGGGUUACUAGAUAAAAUAUAGGAUGCCCAGGUAAAUUCUAUUUUCAAACUAAGUAUUACAUUGGAUAUACUUAUAAUAAAAAGUUAUUUGUUGCCUAUCUGAAAUGAAAAUUAAAGUGAGAGUCCUGUGUUUUUGCUUGCUAAUUUUGUUGACACUUCUUUCAAAUCUUCUCUUGAAUUAUUCCUUUCCAAUAUCCUAUUUGUAAUAUCCAAGAUGUUUUUUAAUUGUUUUCUAAGUGUUCUUUUUAAUCACUUCUUUUGUUUCAUGAACACAAUGUCUUCUCUUUUCUCUCUAGAGAUAUACUGAGGACUAUUUUUGUUCUGCUGCCUAUAUUUUUUCUUUUUCUUUAUUUUAUUUUUUUAAUUUUAAUUUUUUUGUCUCUGCCUUUCAUGUUCGAUUUUCUCACAUGCCUGGUGAGCCUUGGUUGUUCACUUGUAUUUAAGAGAGAUGCACUAAUUGGCAGUUUGUAGGUUCAGUGGGUAUGGCUGGAGCCUGUUGACUGGGGGGCUUCUCUGCAGCACUGCGUCUUUGGGGGUGUCUGUGAGAGGGACUAGCAAGGCUGCUAUCUGCUGGGAAGUGAGGUGCAGGAGAAGACGGGGGCCCAGGGGUCCCACCUUCCUAUGACUAGUCCCCCUCCUAGCUCCCAUUUUCGGUGUGCUGCCCUUGCCUUGGUGUGCCUGGGUCCUUGAGCGCAGAACCUCUCUUGUUCAGCCCCCCGAGAGUCUCCUGCCGGGGUCACUCAUGCAGCGUAAGUCAAGAAAGGCAACCUGAGAGUCUCACUGCUUCUCAUACAGAUUUGUAUUUUUUUUCUGAAAACAAAACACUAUUAAUCUCACCAGUAUGUGUCAUUUCCCAUCGAGAUGCUUCCGCCCCUUCCCGAUUCCCUCUCACUCCAGUAAGAUGAAAGCUCUAGGCUCCUGUUUCUCUCCUCUCUCUCUCUCCACCCUUGGAGUCUCCUUCAUUUCUUCCUAUCCACCCACCAACAGUUGCUGCUUUUUCAUUUUCCUGCCUAUCCUCACCCCUCCCUGUCCCAGCCAAGCCUCUUCCAGCUUCAUUCUGCUGGGAAUGUGUUUUCCUUUUUCUAACCGAUCAUCCUCUCUCUGGCUGCUGGCCACUUUCAGAUGGUAUGACAUUCUUCUGGGUGGGCUCCUUAGGUCUCAGGUUAUGGUGGUUUAUGCGUCCCAAGUGCUGGGAAUCCCACAGAUGGCAGAGGAUGUCUCUCAGUCUCCACAGGCCAAAUUAUAGAAGCUGCCAUCAGUCUGUCAGGCACCCUGCAGGAAACCCUCUCCCUCCGGACUGCGCGCCUCCCACUGCCCCAGUGGAGGGAGGGGACUCAGCUCCUACUCAGCUCUUCCUGGGCCUCCUGGGGGAGGGCCGCCCAGCACAAUCACUCUGGGCCUGUGCUGGCUUUAGCCCUGACAGCCCAAGACUUCCCAGGAUUUUAUGCUUCCCAGUCUUCACUCCUGGCCUUUGAUGUUAUUCUCUAGCACUUCCCAGCCCACUGGAAGAAAGAACCUCAUAAUUUUCUCAGCUUGGAACCCAUCAAAGCCCAAGGCCUCACUCACGCCAGCCACACAUAGGAGUUAGCAGCUAGCUGUUUGCUUCCAGAGAAGAAGAAAUUUGGGUUUGGGAGUGAGAAAGAUGGAAAUUGCAUCCAGCUUGUCAUAUGCCCACGAUUCUGUUUGCCGCCCACCCCAAAUUAUUUCCAUAGCCAUUGAUCACACACAGGGGAGCCCGGAUUAAACAGCAGAGUUGAAUAGCUGUAGUUCUGAUUCAACAUCUGAAUAUAAGCUCAUCCACUCCUGACCUGGUCCAUUUGGGAGACAAAUGCCAACUCCAGUGGUCCUACGCCACAGUUUUAGCACCACCACAUUCAGAGAUAAGAGAGAGUUACUGCGCUUACACUGAGGAGAAAAGCAAUCAGCAGGACCCAAGUGAAACAGAAGUCGUUCCUCACCCUGCUUUAUCCGAUAAGAUAUCUACCUGCCACGAGGAAUCGCUGCCAGUCUCCCCUCAGAAAGUUUAAGGAUCAGGCUAGGCUAGUUCUGGAAAGAAAGAUUGAGUGGACAUAGUAUUAACCUAAAUGGAAUUAGGUUUCUGUUUCAAUAAAAAUUCCCAUUAAAGCUGAAAGCAAUACAGCUGCAGCAGUACAGCCAUAACCACCGCCUGUAGGAAGAUGGGCUUACAUUACACCUGGCCGUGCACCCCAUUAUCACUUUGCAAAAGGCAGUAACCCGAGGUGGGCCUCUGUGGUCCCAGUGUCCUUCGGGUGAUGGUCUCAAAGGAAUCCUUGAUUGGAUGCAAUCAAUAGCCCAAACAUGCGUGACUCACGAAUCAACACAUGACAAGAGGCUGACAAUGAUUAAUCAACUCAUUAUGAUAGGCUCUUUUCAUCCCCUAAUACAUGACUUACUGAAUGUUUUUUUGUAUAUAGUUUCAGUGGAAAAAGGGCAUGACAGCAAUAUUUCAUUCAAACUGUCCACCUACAGGGGCACAUCAGCCUCUUCAUCACCCCUGGGUGGCAUCGCCAGGGCCCGCCACGCUGGGCGAGCAACACUUCAGGAGUUCAUUUUGUUUGCCUAUUUCCAAUCUCAUGAAAAUGUCAAUUUUCCUCUUUUAAAAGACUUGGGAUGGAGGUCACACACUGGCAGCCUGUGGGCUGCAUCCAGCCCUCAGAUGGGUUUUGUAUGAGUGGCAGGGUUUUUUUUUGUUUUUUAAUGAA